CUACGGGACGCAGCAGUGGGGAAUAUUGGACAAUGGGGGAAACCCUGAUCCAGCAAUGCCGCGUGUGUGAAGAAGGCCUGCGGGUUGUAAAGCACUUUCGGUUGGGAGGACUGCUUCUAGCACUAAUAUUGUUGGAAGUUGACGUUACCUUCAGAAGAAGCACCGGGUAACUCCGUGCCAGCAGCCGCGGUAAUACGGAGGGUGCAAGCGUUAAUCGGAAUUACUGGGCGUAAAGCGCGCGUAGGCGGCUAGAUCAGUAGGGUGUGAAAGCCCCGGGCUUAACCUGGGAACUGCAUCCGAUACUGUCUAGCUUGAGUACAGGAGAGGAGAGUGGAAUUCCACAUGUAGCGGUGAAAUGCGUAGAUAUGUGGAGGAACACCAAUGGCGAAGGCAGCUCUCUGGCCUGAUACUGACGCUCAGGUGCGAAAGCGUGGGGAGCAAACAGGAUUAGAUACCCCCGUAGUC
rnacentral:rRNA from 1 species